GGAUCCAGACUUUGAUUCUGGCUCAGGACGAACGCUGGCGGCGUGCCUAACACAUGCAAGUCGAACGGAACUUCUUUAAAGGAUUUCUUCGGAAUGAAUUUGAUUAAGUUUAGUGGCGGACGGGUGAGUAACGCGUGAGUAACCUGCCUCUAAGAGGGGAAUAACAUUCUGAAAAGAAUGCUAAUACCGCAUAACAUAUAUUUAUCGCAUGGUAGAUAUAUCAAAGAUUUAUCGCUCAGAGAUGGACUCGCGUCCGAUUAGUUAGUUGGUGAGGUAACGGCUCACCAAGACCGCGAUCGGUAGCCGGACUGAGAGGUUGAACGGCCACAUUGGGACUGAGACACGGCCCAGACUCCUACGGGAGGCAGCAGUGGGGGAUAUUGCGCAAUGGGGGAAACCCUGACGCAGCAACGCCGCGUGAAGGAUGAAGGUCUUCGGAUUGUAAACUUCUUUUAUUAAGGACGAAGAAAGUGACGGUACUUAAUGAAUAAGCUCCGGCUAACUACGUGCCAGCAGCCGCGGUAAUACGUAGGGAGCAAGCGUUGUCCGGAUUUACUGGGUGUAAAGGGUGCGUAGGCGGCUUUGCAAGUCAGAUGUGAAAUCUAUGGGCUCAACCCAUAGCCUGCAUUUGAAACUGCAGAGCUUGAGUGAAGUAGAGGCAGGCGGAAUUCCCCGUGUAGCGGUGAAAUGCGUAGAGAUGGGGAGGAACACCAGUGGCGAAGGCGGCCUGCUGGGCUUUAACUGACGCUGAGGCACGAAAGCGUGGGUAGCAAACAGGAUUAGAUACCCUGGUAGUCCACGCUGUAAACGAUGAUUACUAGGUGUGGGGGGUCUGACCCCUUCCGUGCCGGAGUUAACACAAUAAGUAAUCCACCUGGGGAGUACGGCCGCAAGGUUGCAACUCAAAGGAAUUGACGG
rnacentral:rRNA from 1 species